rnacentral:rRNA from 1 species
UACAGAGGGGGGCAAGCGUUGUUCGGAAUUACUGGGCGUAAAGGGCGCGUAGGCGGCCCGCUAAGUCGAACGUGAAAUCCCCCGGGCUCAACCCGGGAACUGCGUCCGAUACUGGUGGGCUUGAAUCCGGGAGAGGGAUGCGGAAUUCCAGGUGUAGCGGUGAAAUGCGUAGAUAUCUGGAGGAACACCGGUGGCGAAGGCGGCAUCCUGGACCGGUAUUGACGCUGAGGCGCGAAAGCUAGGGGAGCAAACGGG